ACUGUGGGGAUGUUACUGUAGACCUGGACCAAUAUUAGGGGUAGGUGUAGACUGUGGGGAUGUUACUGUAGACCUGGACCAAUAUUAGGGGUAGAUGUAGACUGUGGGAUGUUACUGUAGACCUGGACCAAUAUUAGGGGUAGAUGUAGACUGUGGGAUGUUACUGUAGACCUGGACCAAUAUUAGGGGUAGAUGUAGACUGUAGGGAUGUUACUGUAGACCUGGACCAAUAUUAGGGGUAGAUGUAGACUGUGGGGAUGUUACUGUAGACCUGGACCAAUAUUAGGGGUAGAUGUAGACUGUGGGGAUGUUACUGUAGACCUGGACCAAUAUUAGGGGUAGAUGUAGACUGUGGGGAUGUUACUGUAGGUCUGGACCAAUAUUAGGGGUAGAUGUAGACUGUGGGGAUGUUACUGUAGACCUGGACCAAUAUUAGGGGUAGAUGUAGACUGUGGAGAUGUUACUGUAGACCUGGACCAAUAUUAGGGGUAGAUGUAGACUGGGGAUGUUACUGUAGACCUGUACCAAUAUUAGGGGUAGAUGUAGACUGUGGGGAUGUUACUGUAGGUCUGGACCAAUAUUAGGGGUAGAUGUAGACUGUGGGGAUGUUACUGUAGACCUGGACCAAUAUUAGGGGUAGAUGUAGACUGGGGAUGUUACUGUAGACCUGGAACAAUAUUAGGGGUAGAUGUAGACUGUGGGAUGUUACUGUAGACCUGGACCAAUAUUAGGGGUAGAUGUAGACUGUGGGGAUGUUACUGUAGACCUGGACCAAUAUUAGGGGUAGAUGUAGACUGUGGGGAUGUUAUUGUAGACCUGGACCAAUAUUAGGGGUAGAUGUAGACUGUGGGGAUGUUACUGUAGACCUGGACCAAUAUUAGGGGUAGAUGUAGACUGUGGGGAUGUAACUGUAGGUCUGGACCAAUAUUAGGGGUAGAUGUAGACUGGGGAUGUUACUGUAGACCUGGACCAAUAUUAGGGGUAGAUGUAGACUGUGGGGAUGUUACUGUAGGUCUGGACCAAUAUUAGGGGUAGAUGUAGACUGGGGAUGUUACUGUAGACCUGGACCAAUAUUAGGGGUAGGUGUAGACUGUGGGGAUGUUACUGUAGGUCUGGACCAAUAUUAGGGGUAGAUGUAGACU